CAGGAUGAACGCUAGCGGGAGGCCUAACACAUGCAAGCCGAGCGGUAGAGAUUCUUCGGAAUCUUGAGAGCGGCGUACGGGUGCGGAACACGUGUGCAACCUACCUUUAUCUGGAGGAUAGCCUUUCGAAAGGAAGAUUAAUACUCCAUAAUAUAUUGAUUGGCAUCAAUUGAUAUUGAAAGCUCCGGCGGAUAGAGAUGGGCACGCGCAAGAUUAGUUAGUUGGUGAGGUAACGGCUCACCAAGACGAUGAUCUUUAGGGGCCUGAGAGGGUGAUCCCCCACACUGGUACUGAGACACGGACCAGACUCCUACGGGAGGCAGCAGUGAGGAAUAUUGGUCAAUGGGUGCAAGCCUGAACCAGCCAUCCCGCGUGAAGGACGACUGCCCUAUGGGUUGUAAACUUCUUUUGUAUAGGGAUAAACCUACCCUCGUGAGGGUAGCUGAAGGUACUAUACGAAUAAGCACCGGCUAACUCCGUG
rnacentral:rRNA from 1 species